ACGCGUUCAGUUCUCGUGGGCAUCGGUCGAUUCCAAAACACGCUGCCUGUGCCAACAUCCAUGAAAAUCGCUAACCUGUCUCUUAUCUUUCCAAAUAUUCCAUUACAUUCUUCUUUGUUGAUUCCAGACGAACAACACCAAUGUUUGGAAAGAGACUCAAGUUCAUUGGCGAAUUCGUUUCGCGAAAGGUACCUUUAGUGAGCUACGCGUGUGACUAAUGGUUUCGGUGUCUUUUUAGAUUUUUGUGCUUUCUAUCAAUCAGAUAAGGAAGUGAAUGGAUUGUUGUGGUUGUAAGAAGCUCGAUCAUUGGAAUUGAGGUGCGAAUUCAAAGGAUGUUUAAUGCGGUGAAUAAUUUGAUGACGAGAAAAAUUUAUUUCUGUUGGUGAAGCUUGGCGAUAAGCAAGAAAAAUAUUAAACAGGUCUUCGAGGGAGAAGUGUAACUUUGAAGAAAAUCUCAUUGGUUUUAUGACGGAAACAAUGAAAAAUUUGAAGAGAUGUUCUGUAUCUAUCUGCGAAAGGUAGAGAUAAAUCAUUUUGAGAAAAAAACAAGAACAGUUCGAGGAUGAUC